GAUUUUUAUAGAAAACACUUAUAUUUUGGGUAUUUCCCAAACACUAUCCCAUAUUAGUUUUCCUCAAAAAAUAUCCAUUAAUUCAAAAACUAUCCAAAGUAUCCUUUCUCUUUCAUUUCCUCUAUUCCACUUUUGUUGUCAUAUGUGGUGUUGUCAUUGCUGCCACCGCUCGCCCUUUCUCCCUUCCCCAGUCUUUACC
rnacentral:lncRNA from 1 species